UUGACCUCGGAUCAGUAGGGAUACCCGCUGACUAAGCAUAUAAUAA
rnacentral:rRNA from 1 species